GGCGUGCCUAACACAUGCAAGUCGAACGAGAAAGCUCCUUCGGGAGUUAGUAGAGUGGCGCACGGGUGAGUAACACGUGGAUAAUCUGCCUGAUAAUCUGGGAUAACAUUUCGAAAGGGAUGCUAAUACCGGAUAAGCCCACAGCCUCUUCGGAGGCAGCGGGAAAAGAUGGCCUCUUCUUGAAAGCUAUUGUUAUCAGAUGAGUCCGCGGUCCAUUAGCUAGUUGGUAGGGUAAUGGCCUACCAAGGCAACGAUGGAUAGCUGGUUUGAGAGAAUGAUCAGCCACACUGGAACUGAGACACGGUCCAGACUCCUACGGGAGGCAGCAGUGGGGAAUUUUGCACAAUGGGGGAAACCCUGACGCAGCAACGCCGCGUGAGUGAUGAAGGUUUUCGGAUCGUAAAGCUCUGUCAAGAGGGAAGAAACCUCCAAUGGUUAAUAUCUGUUGGAAUUGACGGUACCUCUAGAGGAAGCACCGGCUAACUCCGUGCCAGCAGCCGCGGUAAUACGGAGGGUGCAAGCGUUGUUCGGAAUUAUUGGGCGUAAAGCGCGUGUAGGCGGUUUGUUAAGUCUGAUGUGAAAGCCCCGGGCUCAACCUGGGAAGUGCAUUGGAAACUGGCAAACUUGAGUACGGGAGAGGGAAGUGGAAUUUCGAGUGUAGGGGUGAAAUCCGUAGAUAUUCGAAGGAACACCAGUGGCGAAGGCGGCUUCCUGGACCGAUACUGACGCUGAGACGCGAAAGCGUGGGGAGCAAACAGGAUUAGAUACCCUGAUAGUCCACGCCGUAAACGAUGGGUACUAGGUGUUGCGGGUAUUGACCCCUGC
rnacentral:rRNA from 1 species